UCGUCCAAUCAGAGCCUCGUAAACGCCGUGCAGCAGCGUCGAGUGUCCCGCAGACAGGAAGCGGGUCGUGUUUAGCUUGUCCCGUACGAGUGACUCUGUCUUCGGGGUAAAUAACUUGCUGAAGUCGACACGACACUGUUCCCUGGAGGAGAAGAUGAGUGCGUGUGGAGGCAGAGCCGCGGGCCCGGUGUGGACGAGUCGAGGCGGAGAAGACGGAAGCACAGUCCCUGAGUUACGCCUCAGCCCCCCCCCCCUCCACACACACACACACACACACACAAACAAAGAGGCGUUAGGCUGAGACGCUGAAAGUCCGGAUUUAAAGUGCAGAAAAUUAAGCCAUUGAAUCUGCCUGUCCAUGACGUACAAAGACACACUAUGAGCCAGUAUGAUCCGACCAGACCUUACAUCAGCAUUGAGGAGUUGUCGGAGAAGAAAGAGGCUGAUUGAAGCGGGACAGAUGACAUGGAUCCAUCCUUCCACAGCCAGGAGUGCACCGACCUGUGUCCCACACUUCAUAUAAGACUGGAAGCUACACUGGAUCUCACAGCUACACACCACAGACGUCUACACACUGGAGAAGAGUCCCACAAAGAAGUCAUGACCCAGAGGCUGCAGAGAAACAUUUCAAGCCUCAUCUGAGUUUUUGUACAAUAUUUUUGCUGUAUGUAAAUAAAGCUUUCACUCCA